rnacentral:rRNA from 1 species
GACACAGUAGGAUAAGCUAAGCACACUGUUGGUUAUGUGUGCCCAAGCAUUGAGGCAGUCAAAGUAGGCAAAUCCGCUUUGAUAAUGCUGGGAUGUGAUGGGGAGCGAAAUUUAGUAGCGAAGUAGCUGAUUUCACACUGUCAAGAAAAGUCUCUAUCGAGGGUAAAGGUACCCGUACCGCAAACCGACACAGGUGGGUGAGGAGAGUAUCCUAAGGCCAGCGAGAGAACUGUUGUUAAGGAACUCGGCAAAAUGACCCCGUAACUUAGGGAUAAGGGGUGCCACCAUCAGGUGGCCGCAGAGAAUAGGCCCAAGCGACUGUUUACCAAAAACAUAGGUUUCUGCUAAGUCGCAAGACGAUGUAUAGGAGCUGACGCCUGCCCGGUGCUGGAAGGUUAAGGGGAUCUGUUAGAGCAAUCGAAGCAGUGAACUUAAGCCCCAGUAAACGGCGGCCGUAACUAUAACGGUCCUAAGGUAGCGAAAUUCCUUGUCGGGUAAGUUCCGACCCGCACGAAAGGCGUAACGCUUUGGGCACUGUCUCAACAACAGACUCGGUGAAAUUGUUAUUCCGGUGAAGAUGCCGGAUACCUGCGACAGGACGGAAAGACCCCAUGGAGCUUUACUGUAGCUUGACAUUGGGUCUUGGUACUACAUGUACAGGAUAGGUGGGAGGCUUUGAAACCAGGACGCCAGUUUUGGCGGAGCCAUCCUUGGGAUACCACCCUUGUAGUACUGGGACUCUAACCAUAGGCCAUGAAUCUGGUCUUGGGACACUGUCAGGUGGGCAGUUUGACUGGGGCGGUCGCCUCCCAAAAGG